rnacentral:lncRNA from 1 species
CUGUGAGUUCCGUCACUUAGGUUCGAAAUCCGGCCACUGGAGAAUUUACAUGCGGACUCCCCAGCGUCCGAGAUCGAAAACCAUUAACGUUGAGCCACAUGGUGAUGCUCUGGCAGCGUCCUUGCUCGCUUCAGUCUCUAGUCUGGGCCACUACGGUGGGGCCAGAACACUCGGUUAUCAAAAAAAAAAAUCAUCCAAAUAAAAUUUUCAUAGUACAUAAUAUUAAUACAUGAGGAAUGUCCAAAUUAAGUUGAUGUAAGAUGAACAAUCAGUCGACA